rnacentral:rRNA from 1 species
UACAGAGGUGGCAAGCGUUGUUCGGAAUUACUGGGCGUAAAGCGCGUGUAGGCGGCUCUUCAAGUCAGGCGUGAAAGCCCCGGGCUCAACUCGGGAACUGCGUUUGAUACUGUCGAGCUAGAGUGUGGAAGGGGCGAUUGGAAUUCCGUGUGUAGCGGUGAAAUGCGUAGAUAUACGGAGGAACACCAGAGGCGAAGGCGGAUCGCUGGGCCAACACUGACGCUGAUGUGCGAAAGCUAGGGGAGCAAACGGG